rfam:Macaca mulatta chromosome X, whole genome shotgun sequence.
GCUAAACUAUUUUUGCGAUGUGUUCCUAAUAUGUAAUAUAAAUGUAUUGGGGACAUUUUGCAUUCAUAGUUUUGUAUC